AUGAUGACAAGGGGAGAGACUACAUUUGUAGCGCCGAAGGAGCAAACAAAGCUGAUUUGUGAAUCUCUCAGGCAAAAGAACUCUUGUUUGACG
rnacentral:ncRNA from 2 species